AAGUAGAACGCUGAAGCUUGGUGCUUGCACCGAGCGGAUGAGUUGCGAACGGGUGAGUAACGCGUAGGUAACCUGCCUGGUAGCGGGGGAUAACUAUUGGAAACGAUAGCUAAUACCGCAUAACAGUCGACAUUGCAUGAUGUUGAUUUGAAAGGGGCAAAUGCUCCACUACCAGAUGGACCUGCGUUGUAUUAGCUAGUUGGUGAGGUAACGGCUCACCAAGGCGACGAUACAUAGCCGACCUGAGAGGGUGAUCGGCCACACUGGGACUGAGACACGGCCCAGACUCCUACGGGAGGCAGCAGUAGGGAAUCUUCGGCAAUGGACGGAAGUCUGACCGAGCAACGCCGCGUGAGUGAAGAAGGUUUUCGGAUCGUAAAGCUCUGUUGUAAGAGAAGAACGAGUGUGAGAGUGGAAAGUUCACACUGUGACGGUAACUUACCAGAAAGGGACGGCUAACUACGUGCCAGCAGCCGCGGUAAUACGUAGGUCCCGAGCGUUAUCCGGAUUUAUUGGGCGUAAAGCGAGCGCAGGCGGUUAGAUAAGUCUGAAGUUAAAGGCUGUGGCUUAACCAUAGUACGCUUUGGAAACUGUUUAACUUGAGUGCAGAAGGGGAGAGUGGAAUUCCAUGUGUAGCGGUGAAAUGCGUAGAUAUAUGGAGGAACACCGGUGGCGAAAGCGGCUCUCUGGUCUGUAACUGACGCUGAGGCUCGAAAG
rnacentral:rRNA from 1 species